UACGUAGGUGGCAAGCGUUGUCCGGAAUUAUUGGGCGUAAAGCGCGCGCAAGUGGUUUCUUAAGUCUGAUGUGAAAGCCCACGGCUCAACCGUGGAGGGUCAUUGGAAACUGGGGAACUUGAGUGCAGGAGAGAAGAGUGGAAUUCCACGUGUAGCGGUGAAAUGCGUAGAGAUGUGGAGGAACACCAGUGGCGAAGGCGACUCUUUGGCCUGUAACUGACACUGAGGCGCGAAAGCGUGGGGAGCAAACAGG
rnacentral:rRNA from 1 species